rnacentral:rRNA from 1 species
UACGUAGGGGGCAAGCGUUAUCCGGAAUCAUUGGGCGUAAAGCGCGUGUAGGCGGUUCCGUAAGUCCGCUCUGAAAGCCCAGGGCUCAACCCUGGGAGGCGGGUGGAUACUACGGAACUGGAGUACGGAAGAGGAGAUUGGAAUUCCUGGUGUAGCGGUGAAAUGCGCAGAUAUCAGGAGGAACACCAACAGCGAAGGCAGAUCUCUGGACGUUACUGACGCUGAGACGCGAAAGCGUGGGAGC